UAUUAUUAUUAAAUAAAAUA
rnacentral:tRNA from 1 species